UUGAAUCCUCAAGGAUGUUGCUGGCCUUUUCGGGGCAUGUGCACUCCGCCUUUCAAUUCACCUGUGAACUUAUUGUAGGCCUUUGUGCCUAUGUUUUUAUACAUACUCUUAAAAAGUCUAUUGAAUGUCAAUGGAAUGGCCUCUAUGGUCAAAAAUAUAAUA
rnacentral:misc_RNA from 1 species